UAUCUGUUCUGAUUGAAGGCAAUUUACCGAAAUCCUCAGAUACCCUCUUAGCCCUUGAUAAAAAAACACCAUGUUUAGUAGCAAAAUAGGUCACAGACACUGGAUUAUCUGCUUAUGGCGUUUCAUGCGAUCAAACACAACUUUGAGGACAAAAACAACAAAGGGUUGUCUCUGGGUAUUGAAGUCCAUCAGACACCCUCAGAACUCAACAGGAAACCUGGGGACAGUGCAUACAUAUCUGUAUGCACGGGGAAACCGACUACAAAGUGAUGCUGUGGUACCAGCAGUCUGAUGGAAAGAGACCUCUGAUCGGACACGUGAAUUACAAAACCUCCAACGUAGAAAGUGUGUUUAUAGAGGACUUUACACUGUCGGGGGAUCCCAGUGGGGAGUCAUGAACAGCUCUCUUCUGGUUCGCCUGUAUUACUGUGCUGCUAGAUUAGCACGUCAUCCCACACCCACCACUAUUCUUCACAAACACAACAGUGUGUUGUUCUUAUCAGCGGUGGUUUGGAAUGACAAGCUCAACUAAGUGGUCCCCCGGCCACCUGCGUUUGAGGUCGAGGACGAUUUUUUAUUCGUCGUUGUUUUCGACCAAUCAUGUGCUGUAUUUCUUUCCAGUGCAAUUUUGCUGCUCAUCAAAACUCUCGCAACCCAUGAUGGGUCCUCAGCUGCAAACCAUUCAAAAAGAUCAUAAAACACUAUAAGGAAAGCUAAUACAAACAUACCAAGCACUUGGAAGUGUUCUUAAGCUGUUUUGUGUUUGAGUCUACACCAAAUGUCACCACCAUCAGUGCUGUACGGUUAGAAGAGUUGUUGGCAUCACCUCCUCUCUUCUAACAACUUACAUAAAAUGGCUCCUCCCACCUGGGGGUUCCGGUAUGGUUGUGAGAUGGAAAUAGGAGCCACUUCAAUCAGAAUGAUGCAUAGGUUAUGUACUCAAUAUGGGUGUGUUUAAAGGACGACCAUUACAAGCUAGCUAGCGUUGACUUAUCACAUCCAGACAUGUUGACAAUAACCUUCCUCGCGCUACUGAUUACAUUAAACGAUGUCUCAGGUGCAUCUCUUAGCGACCAAGUUCACCAGACUCCACCUGAGAUGGUUGUGGCCAUCGAGUCAGGACCAACGGUCACGCUGGAAUGCUCUCACAGCAUUAAGAACUACGACCAAAUCCUCUGUGAACCUGCAGCACUAGUGAGCUCAGCGCAGACAGAAGGACAUUUGUAACCCUAGGUACAAGACAGACGGACAGCAUGAGAACACUGCUAUUCAACAUAAUUACCAUGAACAUCAUAUGGAUUAAAGCGUCCCAACAGCACCAGGUGGACCAGACUCCAGCAGCCGUGCUGGAAGAGCAGAACAGCCGCGGAGUGAACCUGUCCUGCGCGCAUCAAAUCCCCAACCAUUACACCAUCCUCUGGUACCAGCGCUCGCAAGGAAGCAACCGGCUGGAGCUCAUCGCCACUGUCUAUUACAAGCAGCGGACCAUCGAGGCUACCUUUACAGGCAACUUCUCAGUCGACGGGGAUGGAGAGAAGUGGUCUAGACUGGAGCUGCUGAAGCCGAGGAGCCCGGAGGACACGGGAGAGUAUUACUGUGCAGCCAGAAUGCACUGUGAUGAAGAACCAACGUACGCUGCUACAAAAACCCUGGAGUUACCACAAGAGAGGGAAACCCCCCCCCCCAUCCUUCCGGCUGA